GGAGAAGGGGGCGGAAUUUAGGGGGCUUCAGCGCCGAGGGCGCGGGGGGCGCGACAGCCUCGUUGGGAGCGCGCGGAGGUGAGUGGCGGCCCGGCGCGGCCGGGCUCCUGCUCGGGAAAAAGCCCUGGGAACUGGGGUGCUCCCUGCUCGGGUUCCCGGGUUAGCGGCAUCUCCUCUGACUGGGCCCGCGUCUCCCCACCCCGAGAUGGGUGGCCGAGGGAUCCGGGUCGGGCUGGGAGCCGGGUGAGCCGGGUGAAGGCGCUGACAUUUGGCUUGGGCGAGCCGAGGCCGGGGUCCGUGGCGCGGCCCCCCUCGCCCCUAGACCUCCACCCCGUUCGCGUUGCAUCUGAGGUGUGAAGGAAAAGUUUGUACCACCAACGUGUUGCUCAGCUGAGGGGAGCGAUACUUAGUGGGGGUACCUUGGACGGCUGGUGGGGACCGCACUUCCACGUCUCUACAGCGGAAUACUGGGUUUUAAGAAAAGUUCAGGAGCUGCAGGACGGGAGAUGGGGCAGUUCCUGGACUGCCGUACGGAGAGCGAUGCAUGCGUGACGGUGCACCGGUUAGCGCCGCCGAGGGUGUCACGGCGGGACCGCAGGGGGCGGAGGGCGGGGGGCGUUCCCUGGGCCCCGCCGGCAGCGUCGCGUUGCUUCUGAAGCAGUCGCCUGCCUGCUCGCUGUCACAGGCCUGUGUGUCUGCACACGCUGCCCUCCGGAGCCAGGGGCGCAGCGGUCAGGAGAGGGGGCCGAGGCGGAGCGGAGGGUGCGGCCCCUGGGAUGUGCGCUUGGAAGAUUCUCCAGUGAGUCUCCUGGGCCCUGAUUUCAGGCAGAGCCGUCCUGUUUGUUUUCCCUGUUAUGAGCCACCAAACAGGUGCUUGUGCAGUGGGAAUUCCGAGUCUGACCUUUGAUAGGUUGCCAGCUAGAGGGAGACCUGCUUUCCCGGCUUUGCUCCUGAACCACUAAUCUUCACCACAGAACAGACAUGAUUAGAUUUAUGGAAGAUUGUGUAGAAAGAAGUUAAGAGUUUUAAAUUAAGUACCAGUUUAUAGAUAGGAGAUAGAUUUUUUUUUUUCAGUUUUGCUGCUCUUCUUUCUCUGUGAUUCGGCCUAGCAUGUUGGCCUCUAUUGAAAAGGCAGACAACACUGGCUAGAGGGCAUAACGAGCUUCCAUCUUCUAGAAAAAUAGUAAUAACUCCUCUAAAAUUAAGGGUAAUUUGCUAUAUGGUUAUAGAUUUUUGUGAUAGUUGUGAUCAGACUGACUGUGCCCAUUAAAUAGCAUAAAUAGUUGCUUAAUGAAGAUACUGAUAACAUAGAUAAUUAUAGGUAUAUAUAUUUGGACUAUAGAUUAAUUUCUAUUUGGGGUUACACAUCUGAAGGCUAACUACCAUGUAAAUUUUUUUAGUUUAAAUAAUUUCUGUAAUUCAUAUUUUUAUUAGUAUCUAUGUCUAGUGGUGUUUUGAGUUUUAUAGUUUUUGUUUCUUUCUAUUGCAAUAAGUUUAAUUUGUUGAAAUAUUACAGUGUGUUAUCAUUUACACUCUCUCAGUAGGAAGGUAUAGGUUAUUCUUAAAUAGAGAUUUGGAGAAAUAGCUAACAAGGAGAGUCAUUUGAGAAACAUAUGGACAUCAUAAAAUCCUUCUGUAUGUAGCAUCUGUACCUUCUCAUUAGUGAAAUAUUGUACUUAUGGACAUUUUUUUGUUAUUGCAUCCAAAUGUGGUUUUUUAUUUUUACUUCAAUUGAUUUUUUUUGUUUUAAAAUGUAUAUUAAUGUUUAAGUUGGUAAGGAAUUUUAUUGCUUGAAUCCCUUUUCUUUCAAUAAAGGCAUCAUACUUAAUUUUUAUUGCCCGACAUGCACAACUGUUUUCCAGCUUGUUAUUAUAACUUAUAUUUCUUGAUAAUUCCUCCUAACAUUUGAGAAAUCAGAUGAUAUAUUGUUCUCAUUUUAGGAAGGAGACAGCAGUGCACUGUAGACCCAAGAUUUAGGGAAGUCUGUGGAAAACUGAGAAUAACAUAUAUUUUUUGUUUCCUAAUCAUGACAACAAGCUACUCCAGUGACUUCUUAUGAAGAUUUUGUACAUUUUCCUAUUUCUAGAUUUUUCAAAGUGUUCAUGCUUAUAUAUGUGCAGACUGGAUUUUAAACCAGUCAGUACAGUCCUAAGGAUAUGGGCUCUUGCCGAUUGGGGGAGAACUGUUACUACUACUUGGUGCUACGACAGACAAACACACCUUUCUGCGGGGUAUCUACCUUGGCAGUCAGUUCAUAGUCUACACAUUGCCCUUCAUCCACUGGGGUCACCUUGUAAGCCACAUACUGCUCCUUUACUGAUCAAA
ensembl:lincRNA